GACGAACGCUGGCGGCGUGCUUAACACAUGCAAGUCGAACGGAAAGGCCUGCUUUCCCUUGUGGAUUGCGGGUACUCGAGUGGCGAACGGGCGAGUAACACGUGAGUGAUCUGCCCCCAACUUGGGUAUAAGCCUGGGAAACUGGGUCUAAUUCCCGAUAGGACUGCAGGGUGGUGCCUGUGGUGGAAAACGAUUUUCUAGUGGUUGGGGAUGAGCUCGCGGCCUAUCAGCUUGUUGGUGGGGUAAUGGCCUACCAAGGCGGCGACGGGUAGCCGGCCUGAGAGGGUGGACGGCGACAUUGGGACUGAGAUACGGCCCAGACUCCUACGGGAGGCAGCAGUGGGGAAUAUUGCACAAUGGGCGGAAGCCUGAUGCAGCGACGCCGCGUGGGGGAUGACGGCCUUCGGGUUGUAAACUCCUUUCGACCGCGAGGAAGCCACCUGGUUGGAAGGGUGGUGACGGUAGUGGUAGAAGAAGCACCGGCUAACUACGUG
rnacentral:rRNA from 1 species